rnacentral:rRNA from 1 species
CAGCAGCCGCGGGAAUACGAAGGGGGCUAGCGUUGCUCGGAUUUACUGGGCGUAAAGGGCGCGUAGGCGGACAGUUAAGUUGGGGGUGAAAGCCCGGGGCUCAACCUCGGAAUUGCCUUCAAUACUGGCUGUCUUGAGUGUGAGAGAGGUGUGUGGAACUCCGAGUGUAGAGGUGAAAUUCGUAGAUAUUCGGAAGAACACCAGUGGCGAAGGCGACACACUGGCUCACUACUGACGCUGAGGCGCGAAAGCGUGGGGAGCAAACAGGAUUAGAUACCCCGGUAGUCCCUGUCUCUUAUAC